AGAGUUUGAUCCUGGCUCAGAUUGAACGCUGGCGGCAGGCUUAACACAUGCAAGUCGAGCGGUGAUGAGGUGCUUGCACCUUAUCUUAGCGGCGGACGGGUGAGUAAUGCUUAGGAAUCUGCCAUUUAGUGGGGGACAACAUUCCGAAAGGAAUGCUAAUACCGCAUACGUCCUACGGGAGAAAGCAGGGGAUCUUCGGACCUUGCGCUAAAUGAUGAGCCUAAGUCGGAUUAGCUAGUUGGUGGGGUAAAGGCCUACCAAGGCGACGAUCUGUAGCGGGUCUGAGAGGAUGAUCCGCCACACUGGGACUGAGACACGGCCCAGACUCCUACGGGAGGCAGCAGUGGGGAAUAUUGGACAAUGGGGGGAACCCUGAUCCAGCCAUGCCGCGUGUGUGAAGAAGGCCUUUUGGUUGUAAAGCACCUUAAGCGAGGAGGAGGCUACUUAGAUUAAUACUCUGAGAUAGUGGACGUUACUCGCAGAAUAAGCACCGGCUAACUCUGUGCCAGCAGCCGCGGUAAUACAGAGGGUGCGAGCGUUAAUCGGAUUUACUGGGCGUAAAGCGUGCGUAGGCGGCUGAUUAAGUUGGAUGUGAAAUCCCUGAGCUUAACUUAGGAAUUGCAUUCGAUACUGGUCAGCUAGAGUAUGGGAGAGGAUGGUAGAAUUCCAGGUGUAGCGGUGAAAUGCGUAGAGAUCUGGAGGAAUACCGAUGGCGAA
rnacentral:rRNA from 1 species